CCCCCCCCGACUCCCCACUGGCUUCUGGCCCACUUGCGCCCCUCCCCCACCAUGGCCUCUACCCUUCCAGCCAUCCUUGUAUUCAGUCCACACAUAGUCACGUUGUAAAUCAUCUUAGAGCCGUCGGUGGUCCAUCCAUGCGGAAGCGUAUGACUCGGCGGUAAAAAGGAGUGAGGUGCUGACACUCUACCACGCGGGUGAACCCAGAAAACACACUGCGUGCAGUAAGCCAGGCACAAAGGUCACGUCUCGUCUGAUUCCAUUGAUGAGAAAUGUCCAGAACAGUUUCCUAGCCAUCCAGCUUUCUCCUUCCUCGAGCUGCCUGUGUGGACCCCCCAGAAACACUCUGCACAUUGGAGCAAAUCUCUCCAUCUGUAUCAUAAGACUUGGAAGCAACCCAGACGUCCUUCGGGGGGUGAAUGGAUAAACCAUGGGACAUCCAGACAAGGGAAUGUUACUCAGCGCUAAAAAGGGAGGAGCUCUCCAGCUGUGAAAAGACACAGAGGAACCUCAAAUGCAUGUCGCUAAGCGAGAGAAGCCAGUCUGAAAAGGCUACACACGGUAUGAUUCCAACUCGAUGACAUUCUGGAAAAGGCAAAAGCACGCAGACAGUAAGUAAAAGGAUCCGUGGCUGCCAGGGGUGGGGAGGCGGGAGAGAUGAACAGACGGAGCACAGGGGAUUUUUUACGGCAGUGAAAUACACUGUAUGUCACCACAAUGAUGGAUACAUUCAUUAUCCAUUUGUCCAAAGCCAUAGAGUGAACCCCAAUGUAAACCAUUGACUCUGGGGGCGCCUGGGUGGCUCAGUCGGUUAAGCGUCCGACUCUUGAUCUCGGCUCAGGUC